GAUGAACGCUGGCGGCGUGCCUAAUACAUGCAAGUCGAGCGAACAGACGAGGAGCUUGCUCCUCUGACGUUAGCGGCGGACGGGUGAGUAACACGUGGAUAACCUACCUAUAAGACUGGGAUAACUUCGGGAAACCGGAGCUAAUACCGGCUCAUAUAUUGAACCGCAUGGUUCAAUAGUGAAAGACGGUUUUGCUGUCACUUAUAGCUGGAUCCGCGCCGCAUUAGCUAGUUGGUAAGGUAACGGCUUACCAAGGCGACGAUGCGUAGCCGACCUGAGAAGGUGAUCGGCCACACUGGAACUGAGACACGGUCCAGACUCCUACGGGAGGCAGCAGUAGGGAAUAUUCCGCAAUGGGCGAAAGCCUGACGGAGCAACGCCGCGUGAGUGAUGAAGGUCUUCGGAUCGUAAAACUCUGUUAUUAGGGAAGAACAAAUGUGUAAGUAACUAUGCACGUCUUGACGGUACCUAAUCAGAAAGCCACGGCUAACUACGUG
rnacentral:rRNA from 1 species